UACGGAAGAGGCAAGCGUUAUCCGGAAUUAUUGGGCGUAAAGCGUCCGUAGGUGGCUCUCUCAAGUCUGCGGUCAAAGACCGGGGCUCAACCCUGGAAUGCCGGUGGAAACUGCCGGGCUGGAGUCCGGAAGAGGCGAGUGGAAUUCCCGGUGUAGCGGUGAAAUGCGCAGAUAUCAGGAGGAACACCGGUGGCGAAGGCGGGUCUCUGGGCCGUAACUGACGCUGAGGAGCGAAAGCGUGGGGAGCAAACAGG
rnacentral:rRNA from 1 species